UACGUAGGGACCAAGCGUUGUUCGGAUUUACUGGGCGUAAAGGGCGCGUAGGCGGCGUGGUAAGUCACUUGUGAAAUCUCUGAGCUUAACUCAGAACGGCCAAGUGAUACUGCUGUGCUAGAGUGCAGAAGGGGCAAUCGGAAUUCUUGGUGUAGCGGUGAAAUGCGCAGAUAUCAGGAGGAACACCGGUGGCGAAGGCGGGUCUCUGGGCCGAUACUGACGCUGAGGAGCGAAAGCGUGGGGAGCAAACAGG
rnacentral:rRNA from 1 species